rnacentral:rRNA from 1 species
GACGAACGCUGGCGGCGUGCUUAACACAUGCAAGUCGAACGGAAAGGCCCUGCGUUUGUGGCGUUCUCGAUUGGCGAACGGGUGUGUAACACGUGAGUAACCUGCCCCUGUCUUUGGGAUAACUUCAGGAAACUGCGGCUAAUACCGGAUAGGAGCUCUUGCUGCAUGGUGGGGGUUGGAAAGAUUCGGUGGUGCGGGAUGGACUCGCGGCUUAUGAGCUUGUUUGUGGGGUAGUGGCGUACCAGGGCUGUGAGGGAUAGCCUACCUGAGAGGGUAGCCGGCGACAAGGGGCCUGAGGGACGGCGCAGACUCGUACGGGACGCAGCGGUGGGGAGUAUGGCACAAUGGCGGGAAGCCAGAUGCAGCAACGUCGGGAGCGGGAUGACGGGUUUCGGGUUGUAAACCGCUUUCGCCUGUGACGAAGCGUGAGUGACGGUAAUGAGUAAGGAAGCACCGGCUAACUACGUG